UUUUUUGAGCUGGUGAAUGUGACCGUGAGUCAUUCACUCGCUUUUUGGUGCCUUGUCUAGUUGUGGAAACGUCGGAGGUGUUUCGAGUUCCAAGCUCGUGGCACUGGUUCGCCGGUUGAGGUUUCGAGAUGGUAGACCUUGGGUUUGACUAUCUCGGUGAUCUUGUAAGGUCCCUCCCAAUUGGCUCCGAGUUUGCCAACUUUCCAUUCCUUCGUAUUCUCGAACACCUUCCGCAUAACGAGGUUACCUAGUUCAAGAGGCCGAGAUUUAACCUUCUUGUUAUAGUAGCUCUCGAUCUGAUUCUGAUAGUUCUGAAUGGGAAGUAGUGCUUGGUCGCGUUUUUCCUCGAUGUCAUCUAGGGCGUCGAGGAGCAUAUCGUGGUUGAGUUCGACAUUCUGCGGCAUUUUGGAAUGGCGCAAGCUCGUCACGU
rnacentral:lncRNA from 1 species